ACUCUUGUUUCUCUUCAGGUUGUACAAAUCUUUCGAGUUUAACUAAAGAUUUUCUUGGAGGGAAACAACAAGAGAUUAUCUAAAUUUUUUGACGCCCUGUUUCACACUGGGGCU